CUGAGCAGUUUGCCCUGUACAUCCCACUGGAAAGCAGAAUGGAAGCCCGAUUCCCAAAGUGCUUCCAGCUCAGCGAUGCCCAACCCUUGAAAGAACCACGGCUCUUCAAAGCAACGCGAAAUCAUCCUGCUGUGGGUGGUGCUGCCUGUUUCCACGAAAUGCAAGUUUCUUUCAUCUAGAAAGACGUUUGCACAGGCUCUUUGCCUGCCAUUGCUGGGCAUCCCUGCACCCUGCGAAGCAAAGCUACGUUCAGACACCGGAGCGGGCUGCAGGUGAGCUGUCGCAUCCCCGCUGUCGCUGCAGCAUCCCCACUGCCACUGCAGCAUCCCCGCUGUCGUUGCAGCAUCCCUGCUGUCGCUGCAGCACAGAGCCGUGCAGUACCACGCAGCUACGCGUGCCCAGCACCAGCUUGGAGAUCUCCGCGCAGCCCGUGACUGCACACACUGAUAAGUCUGCGCAUCUUCCAAACCUCCCCGCCCGUUCCCCCUCAUUGUCCCUUGUUUCUCCACUGUUAAAAAGUAAAUAUAAUUUUCCGCUGGGAGGACAGCGGUGAGAACAGUGUGUACGAUGUUCCAAGACGGUGCCCUGACGAGAGCUCCGUAAGCAGCCAGGCAGCCAGGUCAUAGACAUAAAGCGGUUAUUUAAUUACCGAUAGUAUGUGAUGCUGUUCGUACAUGAGAUAGAUGAAAAUACUCAAUAUUCUUGUUUGGCUGGAACUAUUCAUCCUGAUUCAUCCUCUCUGAUCCAGAAGAACUGAGGCUUGAAAUGUGUGUCCGUCUGUCUGUGUGCUGUUGACGCUUGCUGAAAAG
rnacentral:lncRNA from 1 species